rnacentral:rRNA from 1 species
AUACGGAGGAUCCGAGCGUUAUCCGGAUUUAUUGGGUUUAAAGGGUGCGUAGGCGGCCUUUUAAGUCAGCGGUGAAAGUCUGUGGCUCAACCAUAGAAUUGCCGUUGAAACUGGGGGGCUUGAGUAUGUUUGAGGCAGGCGGAAUGCGUGGUGUAGCGGUGUAAUGCAUAGAUAUCACGCAGAACCCCGAUUGCGAAGUCAGCCUGCCAAGCCAUGACUGACGCUGAUGCACGAAAGCGUGGGGAUCAAACAGGAUUAGAUACCCUGGUAGUCCACGCAGUAAACGAUGAUCACUAGCUGUUUGCGAUACACUGUAAGCGGCACAGCGAAAGCGUUAAGUGAUCCACCUGGGGAGUACGCCGGCAACGGUGAAACUCAAAUGAAUUGACGGGG